rnacentral:tRNA from 1 species
GCCCUGGUGGCUCAGUGGUUAAGCAGUUGGCUGCUAGCCAAGAGGUUGGUGGUUUGAACCCACCCAGUGGCU